rnacentral:lncRNA from 1 species
AAAACUUUCAGGGAAGGAAGAGUGAGAGACGAGGGUCCGAUUCGGGGAUGGAACGCCGCAACCGACGGUGCCGGUGGUCGGAAAAGAGAGGGAAGAGUCCGGCCGAAACAAAGCAAAAACAGGGGUCAUCUUAUUCUUGGAUUUUCCGGCGAUCCUGACGGCCGGCGAGGAGUUUAAAAACAUGGGAAGAAAGAGAAGAGGGAGAGGAAGAAAGAUUGAACCCUUACCUGAACUCCGGGGGCUUCUUUGACCUUCAAUUUCCGACGAACACGAGAAGAGGCUGCCGCGGCUUCUUCGGAGAAAAGAAGAGAAAUCGGGCUCGAAGAUCACCGGUGGAGGGUCUUGAGAGAGGGAGAGGCUUAUUUAUAGGGGAUACUAGAGUUCUAAAAGGCCUAGAGUUCUUCUCCGAUCGGGAUUCAUCGGAGAAGAAGACUCCUUUCGGGAGU